rnacentral:rRNA from 1 species
AACAGGAUUAGAUACCCUGGUAGUCCACGCCGUAAACGAUGAGUGCUAAGUGUUAGAGGGUUUCCGCCCUUUAGUGCUGAAGUUAACGCAUUAAGCACUCCGCCUGGGGAGUACGGCCGCAAGGCUGAAACUCAAAGGAAUUGACGGGGGCCCGCACAAGCGGUGGAGCAUGUGGUUUAAAUCGAAGCAACGCGAAGAGCCUUACCAGGUCUUGACAUCCUCUGAAAACCCUAGAGAUAGGGCUUCUCCUUCGGGAGCAGAGUGACAGGUGGUGCAUGGUUGUCGUCAGCUCGUGUCGUGAGAUGUCGGGUUAAGUCCCGCAACGAGCGCAACCCUUGAUCUUAGUUGCCAUCAUUAAGUUGGGCACUCUAAGGUGACUGCCGGUGACAAACCGGAGGAAGGUGGGGAUGACGUCAAAUCACCAUGCCCCUUAUGACCUGGGCUACACACGUGCUACAAUGGGCGGUACAAAGAGCUGCAAGACCGCGAGGUGGAGCUAAUCUCAUAAAACCGUUCUCAGUUCGGAUUGUAGGCUGCAACUCGCCUACAUGAAGCUGGAAUCGCUAGUAAUCGCGGAUCAGCAUGCCGCGGUGAAUACGUUCCCGGGCCUUGUACACACCGCCCGUCACACCACGAGAGUUUGUAACACCCGAAGUCGGUGGGGUAACCUUUUUGGAGCCAGCCGCCUAAGGUGGGACAGAUGACUGGGGUGAAGUCGUAACAAGGUAACC